rnacentral:rRNA from 1 species
AGUGAACGCUGGCGGUAUGCUUAACACAUGCAAGUCGAACGAGAACGGUCCAAAGCUUGCUUUGGAUGUCAGCUAAGUGGCGAACGGGUGAGUAAUGUAUAGCUAACCUGCCCUGUAGAGGGGGAUAACAGUUGGAAACGACUGCUAAUACCCCAUAUACCUUUUGAACAUAAGUUCGUAAAGGGAAAUGCUUUUGUGCUACGGGAUGGGGCUGUAUUGUAUCAGCUAGUUGGUGAGGUAAUGGCUCACCAAGGCAAUGACACAUAGCUGGUCUGAGAGGAUGAUCAGCCACACUGGAACUGAGACACGGUCCAGACUCCUACGGGAGGCAGCAGUGAGGAAUAUUGCACAAUGGAGGAAACUCUGAUGCAGCAAUACCGCGUGGAGGAUGACGCAUUUCGGUGUGUAAACUCCUUUUAUAUACCAAGAUAAUGACGGUAGUAUAUGAAUAAGCACCGGCUAACUCCG